GAAGGGAUAGCUCCGCGGCAGAGUAUGUGCCUAACAUGCACAGGGUCCUGGGUUCAAUCCCCAGUACUUCCA
rnacentral:tRNA from 1 species